rnacentral:rRNA from 1 species
AGGGAUCAUUACUGAGUUACCGCUCUAUAACCCUUUGUGAACAUACCUACAACUGUUGCUUCGGCGGGUAGGCCGUCCCCUGAAAAGGACGCCUCCCGGCCCGGAACGGACCCCCUCGCGGGGCCCGGACCCGGCGCCCGCCGGAGGAUAACCAAACUCUAUUGUAACGACGUUUCUUCUGAGUGGCAUAAGCAAAAUAAUCAAAACUUUUAACAACGGAUCUCUUGGUUCUGGCAUCGAUGAAGAACGCAGCGAAAUGCGAUAAGUAAUGUGAAUUGCAGAAUUCAGUGAAUCAUCGAAUCUUUGAACGCACAUUGCGCCCGCCAGCAUUCUGGCGGGCAUGCCUGUUCGAGCGUCAUUUCAACCCUCAAGCUCUGCUUGGUGUUGGGGCCCCACGGUCGACGUGGGCCCUCAAAGGUAGUGGCGGACCCUCCCGGAGCCUCCUUUGCGUAGUAACAUUUCGUCUCGCACUGGGAUCCGGAGGGACUCUUGCCGUAAAACCCCCCAAUUUUUCAAGGUUGACCUCGGAUCAGGUAGGAAUACCCGCUGAACUUAAGCAUAUCA